ACGCACGAUGCACCCCGGGCUUCUCUGAGAGUACUUUCACUGAAGAAGAAAGCCCCAAUGGUCGUGCUAAAACGUCGCCGUCAAGUGUUGCAGUUUAGCCUCGCUUUACUCCACGGCUUUUCUGUGUCAAAUCGACCGCCACAUCUCCCACAAAAACCCUAAAUCUUUUCAUCAAUUUUCAGUAGCGUACGAUCCGAUGCGCCUCGACACACCUUAAGCCUGUUUUUGAACAAUCUCCGAAAACAGAGCUAGUCAUGGAGGCGCAGAUCCUAUUGCGGUGUCAAACGUGGGGGUUUUUCUCUUCUCAUAGUUUUGCCUCUAAAAACGUCCGCUAAAUUUUCAGAAUUUCGAUCUGUUAUGUAUUUUGAUAUUGUUUUGUGAAAUUUUGGCGAUGAUUACAAAUUAUCCGCGCUUCUGAGAGCAAUCGAUGAAGUAGAAUGUGAUAAUCAAUGGUUGAAUUUCUUGAUAUGAGCCAUUUAAGUUUUUGAUUUGCUGAUUUGGGUCGGUGAUAUUUUUGGGUUUUGUUGAUUAAUGUUGGCGGUGAUGACUAAAUUUUACAGCUUUAUGCCAGUUCUGCUUCAGAAAAUUCGUGAUUGAGAGAGCUGUUUCAUACUCUGAGCCUUCAGUUUAUUAAUUUGAUUUUGUUUUUCUUUAGUGUUUUGGAUUUCUGUGUUUUUGGUGGUGCCGAUGACGAUUCAAUCCGCUUGUUUGAGGUGCAGUGGAAUUGAGACCCUGUUUACAGGGAGAACCCCUCAGUGACACUGCAUUCAUAUGAAUUCAAUGGAUUUAGCUGAGGUUUUAAUCUUACUUACCCUCCUUGUAAAAUGUUUUUGUGUUACUUGUUUGGUUUGUUGUCUGUCUAUGAUUAGAUUUGUUGUUUGGUAUGUUAUUAAUUGAUUGUGAUUGGUGUGUUAAAUUUUGGUGAUGUCUUCUUGUCCUUUGGCCUGUGAUGAUUCAAUCCGCUUUUUUGAGGUGUAGUGGAGCUGAGACCUUGUUUACAAGGAGAACCCCUCGGCGAAGCUACAUUGCAUAUGAAAUCAAUGGAUUUAACUGAGGUUUUAAGUCUUCAUUACUGCAUCAAAAUCCAUUGUUUCUGUGCUAAUGGCUUGGUUUGCUGAAUAAUGUUUAUUAUUUUUGUUAGGAUUAAGUAUUGUUUAGGCGUCAAUGAUGUUACAAUCCAACGUGUUUGAGGAGUAGCGGAAGUGAGAACCUGCUUUUGUGCAGGUCGAACCUACUCGUGGAAACUACAUCCCUUGACAGAAACGAUGUAGCUGAGGCAUUGCAGUCAUAUGGUUUUGUUAUGUAUUGUGUUUAAUUGUUGGUUUUGAGUUUCAACUAUACCCUUAUCCUUUUUCGAUCAGGUGAAGGGUCUGAAAUAACUCAUAAAUUAGAGUGUUGUCAUCAGCAUCAUCUUGUGUUACUGGUCAAGACUGGAGUUAAACAACAACACUACAUCU
rnacentral:sRNA from 1 species